GAUCCGAAACAGUCAGCUCCGGAUGUAAUACAGCCAAAACGUACGAGGAAUUGUCAAUGAAAUCAGAUACAUCGGUUUAUAAUGCCCUUAAGAAAGGAGGCAACGGACUCGAUAAUUCUCAAGAAUUGGAUAAGUCUAAAUCACAGUCGCACAUGCACUACGGAAAUGUCAAGAAAGAGGAUCCCGUUUACAACAAUACGGUACUGUAGAACCCGGGGACCAAAAUUACUUCAUGUGAAUAAUUUAAAGUCUGAUAGUUAGACAUCGUGAAUUGUGAUGAUGUAUACAAUUGUACAAACAAAAGUAUGUUGACUUUAAGUUUUAGGAUGAGUAGUAUUUAUAAAAAGUCACAUUAGGAACAGGAUAUUUCUACAUGAUUACAAAAACGCGAAGUUUGAUUUAAUUUUGUACCUGAAGGCCAAAGGUCAAGGUCACAGUGACUCUGGACAAAAAACUUUGUCCAAUCAACAUGAAAACAACGCUUGGAAAAACGGUCCUCAAACUAAGUUAGGAUGUAGUUCAGUACCUAAAGAUCCUAUAUUGAUUUUUAAAUCAACAUUUCAUAGACCAAGGUCACUGGAUUGACCACAGUCGUAGUUAUCUUUCAAAGCGGGUCAUAUUAAAAGAAUACAAUGAUAAAAUAAUUGAACGCUAUAAAAGAAGCGCAAAAUCAUCAUAUUGUUUUAUUUUUGUGUUUCGGCUUUUUAACGCGUUAGUAAUUGCAUUGUUAUAAUAGAGUAGUUCUGUCUGGAUCCAGUCAUUUAUCGACGCCAGAUAGACGAGUUUUCCAUACAAAAUGAAAUAGGAGUUUGCAAAAUGGACACGAUAAACACUUAUUUUAAAAUUUUAAUUUCGUGUUUCUUUUCCUGGAAAAGGUACGGAAAGAGUUUUUCAGCAUUGAAAUCCGUCUUUUAUAAAUGCUUAUGCUAAUAAGACCACUCUUAAAGAAGAAAUUAACAUUUUAGUUUUCUUUCAAAUGCAGGCUUAUCAUGACAAAUUUGAAGCCAUUUCAGGUGGCUUUAAGCAUGUUAAAGAAAUAAGGCAAAACACUGUACUUUAUUCCACUAUUGUUUGCAAAGAUAAAAUUGGACGUUUAGGCUAUGAGAUAGAUAGUUGAUUUAUUUGUGAUGUCUCGAAUGUGCAAAAAAGCAGCAAGCAACUGUAUAUUCUUUAAAGCAUAUUUUCUGACAAUAGAUACUAAGCUUAUUUUCUCUUAAUAUUUAACCACAUCAUUCAAUUACUGUCCUGUUGUUUGGCAUAUUUGUAGCAAAUGCAACACAAAUAAUAAGAAAUACAGAGCUUUACAAACCCUUUUUAAUUAUUAUACUUCAACUUAUGAAAAUCAUCUUCGUACUCCUCAAUUUCAUUAUAUUUGAGCAGAGUAAGAUGUAUCUAUUAAAACUUACAAAUGUUUGUACCGUAUCCCGCCAGAAUAUGUUCUUAACCUUUUAAGACAUGUAAUUUUAAUCUCCGAUAUGAAAGCCUUGUAGAUGUGCCAUCAAUAACAUAAACUUAAUUUGUGAAGAACUUUUUCCACGUUGAGGCCUCUUGAGUUGUGGAUAGCAUCAAAAAGUAAAUAAGGUGUCAUCAAAAUUGCUUCGAAUUAAGAAGGCUGAUCCGCACAUGGACAUGUCCCUCUUUUAAAUGCUCAAUGUGCAAAUAAUAUAUUAUAAUUGUGGGAUGUUUCGGUUUUUAAUAACGUGUUACGAUCUGGUAAAUUCAAUUAAUAUUUUUUACAGUGGUUUAUGCUGAUUUUUUGUAGGCCAUUAAUGUUUGCCGGUAGGUAGGGAUUGACCUAAUCAUAGGAGGAACCAUGUCUUCGUACAUAACUGUCUCCGAUAUUGUCAGCAAAUUCAAUAAGGUACUGCAAAUGAAAGGAUACAUUUGGUUUUCCUCCUUUCAGCAAUACUUUGCAAUGGCUUUUUCUAGCAAGCUAUGGUAAAUAAAAACAAUAACAGUUUACCAACUACACAUAACACCACCAUGCUCUAAUUUCCAUGUACAUAUUGCUACUUACAACGUUUCUGUUUUAAAUGUAUACUAUACUGUGUUUUUCAUCUAGCGGAACCGUGCAUGUAGACUUUCCGUUGAGCCGAGAAAACUUAUAAAUGUUAUCAUUGUAUACAGUGUUCUAAGAUAUCUUUUUUUUGUAAUUGCAUGACUAUAAACGGCGUGUGUUACUUAUUUCAUAAUAUAUGUUUUUAUUUCCGGGUCACCACUUUUUACUUUGUGUUAUCAUUUUGUGUAUGUUUAAUUGUUCAUGUAAAAAAAUAGCUCGUUGAGCUUAUGUUUGUUUGUUAUCAUUUUCUCGACUGAAAAUAAAGAUUCUUGUAUA